GGAAUAUGAUGAACAAGCGAAAGCCGCUAACUUCCGACUUUAACGGUUAAACUCCGUUUAUAUUCCU
rnacentral:tRNA from 1 species